GACAGAGGAUGCAAGCGUUAUCCGGAAUGAUUGGGCGUAAAGCGUCUGUAGGUGGCUUUUAAGUCCGCCGUCAAAUCCCAGGGCUCAACCCUGGACAGGCGGUGGAAACUACCAAGCUGGAGUACGGUAGGGGCAGAGGGAAUUUCCGGUGGAGCGUGAAAUGCGUAGAGACCCGGAGGAACACCAGUGGCGAAGGCGGCGUCCUGGCCUGCGACUGACGCUGUGGCGCGAAAGCUAGGGGGAGCAAACGGG
rnacentral:rRNA from 1 species